rnacentral:rRNA from 1 species
AAUCAACGCUGGCGGCGUGCCUCAGACAUGCAAGUCGAACGAUUAAACUUCCCUUCGGGGAAGAUAUAAAGUGGCGCACGGGUGAGUAACACGUAGGUAAUGUACCUUUGGGUGGGGAAUAACUUAGGGAAACUUAAGCUAAUACCGCAUAAUGCAGCGGCUCCUUCGGGAGACAGUUGUUAAAGAUUUAUCGCCUAAAGAGCAGCCUGCGGCAGAUUAGCUAGUUGGUAAGGUAACGGCUUACCAAGGCUACGAUCUGUAUCCGACCUGAGAGGGUGGUCGGACACACUGACACUGAAUAACGGGUCAGACUCCUACGGGAGGCAGCAGUCGGGAAUUUUGGGCAAUGGGCGAAAGCCUGACCCAGCAACGCCGCGUGAAGGAUGAAGUCUUUCGGGAUGUAAACUUCGUAAGAAUAGGAAGAAUAAAUGACGGUACUAUUUGUAAGGUCCGGCUAACUACGU